rnacentral:rRNA from 1 species
UACGUAGGGUGCAAGCGUUGUCCGGAAUUAUUGGGCGUAAAGAGCUCGUAGGCGGUCUGUCGCGUCGGCUGUGAAAACCCGGGGCUCAACUCCGGGCUUGCACUCGAUACGGGCGGACUAGAGUUCGGUAGGGGAGACUGGAAUUCCUGGUGUAGCGGUGAAAUGCGCAGAUAUCAGGAGGAACACCGGUGGCGAAGGCGGGUCUCUGGGCCGAUACUGACGCUGAGGAGCGAAAGCGUGGGGAGCGAACAGG